CUUGAAUUUUUGCAAUCUUUUAAGAUGUUGACAGAAUUAAGGUAGCUACGAAUUUAUCAUUGAGGUUGACUGAAGAGAACAAAAAAAAUAAGGAACUGCAAGAUGCAAUUGAUGACAUUUUGGAAAGGCUUAAGCAACAUUGGACGGUGCAGUACAGGAGGUUAUACUUGAUUGAUAUGUUUAAACCACCCAGAACUUGGCAAGACUGUGCAGAUUAUUGUGCGGCAAAACCUUUCACCGAAAUGAUUAAUAUUGAAAGCAAAGCAGAAGAGAUAUAUUUGGAAUCACAACUCAAAGGCUCAGCUCAUGAUUUCUGGAUUGGACUGUAUAAAAGGGGUGACAGCUGGUCAUGGAUUGAUGCAAAACAUAAGUUUCGUGAGAAGUA